GGUUUCCGUCUGUCGCACUCGACCUCAACCGGAGAACGCGCCAUCGCCAAUGGCCGCCGACGGUAACUACCCAGCCCUCGUUCGAUCCAAACCGGCUGCUGAUGAAAGAGAAGACCUCCUCAUCCAAGGCGAGUUCAAUCGGUUGAUAUUAUGGGACCCUAAUCGUUGUUCUCUUUCUUCCUGAUUCUUGAUUUUGCUUGUCAAUCGGGCUCUUCAUAUGUUGGAAGAGGAAGACUUCCAUGACUAUGGCAGUGAUUUCCACGAGGAUUCCCAAUGAGUUCUUGUUUGGGUAAGGCGAGAGGGAGAUUAAGAAGAUGGAUUUUACCCAGCCGGAGCUGAAGUCGGAUCACGUGAACAGGCCGCUUUGGGCCUGUGCCGAUGACCGUAUCUUUUUGCAAACCUUCUUCCCUCUCUACAAGCAAGCCUAUGAUUACCUCGUUGCCGUCACAGAGCCUGUCUGCAGACAUUGUGGCAUGAAUAUAAUUUGACGCCGCACACACUGUGUGCUGCGGUUUCAGUUGGUCUGAAAAUUGAGACCAUCAUCAGUGUUCUGAACAAGCUGUUAGAAAACGAAGUUGCCACCUGGGGUGAUUGACUCUUCGUCCAUCAGAGUCGACCGCCAACUAUGGCAAAGUUAAGCUCGUUCUGAAAAAGACUUGGAAUUUCGUUGAGCCACCAUUUCCAGAGGUAUUGAAGCAAUUGCUUAAGGUGAUGUCAUAUCAAAGGCACGGAUUAACUCUGAGGACGAUUCUCACGAUGCUGAUACAUUCACAAUUAGCAAAUCUGUGUAUGAAAUACGAGGUGGUCAUGAGGACUUACUGAAUGGGGCUAUGUUAGCUGCUGCAGCUGAAGAGAAAGAAACUCAUUUGAAAUAGAACCUUCCCAGCUGCAAUAGAAAAUCUCAUGCCACAAUGUCUGAAUUCGCAGGUAGAAAAUGUCAAGCAACAUUGCUUGCUUAAUGGACUAAACUAUCCUAUCCUCCAGCGGUAUGAUUUUCGCAAUGAUACAGCUAGUCAUUUAUGUCUUUAAAACUUGAUUGAACUUUUUAAGUAUUAAUUGACUUCCAGUGAGUCAUUUUUCUGUUCAAAAAUUGAUUGAGCAAUUUUAAACUAUUCUAUGCUCGAGUAGUUUGAUUUUCAAAAUGAUACAGUGAGUCAUUGUCUGUUUAGAACUUGAUUGAGCUUUCUAAGUAGGAAAUUGACUUCCAGCGAGUCAUAUUUUUGUUUAAAAGUUGAUUGAGAAUUUUAGUUAUUAAAUUGAAGUUCUGAAAUGUUACAGUCAAAAUUUUCAUUUUCAUUUUCUGGUUAGACCUUGAUUAAGAGAGUUGUGCAAACACUCUUGUAGUGUCAUAAUAGCUUGGUUUAGAAGUUCUUGGCACGGAAUUUAGUUUUCUUCUUCUUUACUGUCCGGCUUCUCUAAAUAUGGUAUUCCUUUACAAAAGUCUAGCAGACCAUCAUGACAUACCUAUGUGUUUGCCUAGGUGAUGCAGCAAAGUUCAGUAAUUUAUUCAAAUACUAAAAAAUGGUCUAAAGGCAUACAUGAAAACUCUUUUUUCCAGAAAUGCAUGACAUCCACGUCGGGUCUUGCAGUUUUGGCUUUUAGCAGUAGUUUGUUGCAUAGUUGAUAAAAACAGGGUCAAAUAAUUAUGAUGCUGCAUUAGGAACAGAUGCUAUUGGUUACAUCUUCAUUUCUUGCUUUAGUUAAUUAUAAGAACAAGAAGUAAGAUAAGAAUUUACAUCUACAAGAUAUCAAUACUGUUAACUUGAGUGUAUUUCACAGAGGAAUAUAUUGUACUGUUAGUUUCUCUUCUUCUGUAAGUCUCACAUUUGAGCAUAAUUAAUUUCCAUAAAUCAAUUUGCUUCAUUGUCUACGGAUAUCUCAUUAUUUGCUAGAAGUGCAAAUUUCUCGACUCUGGUUACAGGAUUAGGUAUUCUAGUAGCUUCAUUGAGGGAGAUCAUUGUGCUGUGGAAAUAAUUUCUUCUAUGUCAGGCUCUCCUUUUCCUUGUUUUAAAUAGGUAAUAUUAUGGUUCUCAUGCCACAUAACUAAUGGAGCAAAAUUUUCUUGUUCCAGGUAGACCCUGAUUUGAAUAUAGAAUUGAAACCUCAAGCAUGGGCAUGCUGCCAUAUCUGAUUGAUACACUGGAUAAUAUAUGUUCACCAUAGUCAAAGUCUAUUUUUUAUGGAUUAGAAUGUUGAGCAGUUAGAAAUGAUAUAUACAAGAUGUUUACUGUUACUGAGAUAAGAUGUUGAGAUGGAUGUGUGUUGUUACUAUAAGAAGAUUGGUUUGCAAAUAAUUCCACACAAACAAUAGAAAGCUUUGAGCGAGUAUGGUCAAGAUGAGGGAAAACUACUUAAAUGGGUAUAAACAUGUAUAAGGAGAGCUAUAGAUUUACUGGCCGAAUGAGAUGAGUUAAUUAGGAUUAGUAUCUCUUGUUGGAUCAGUAAUAUUUGCCUCAAUUAAGCUCAAAAAGUCCAUGUAUUUGAGCACAACUGGUUUGGACAAUGGGGCUUCUUAUUGUUGUACUUGAAGGUUGUCCUACUUGGCUUUUUCAGUUCACAAGAUGGUUUCUGUAGUUGGGCAUAGUAAAAAUGGAUUUCUUUCCAUUAAAAAGUUUUUAGACCCUGUUUGUGUAGAAUGAUUUUAUGCAUAAUCCUAGACUAGCCAUGAUCUUGAAAGUUCUCGUGCAUUGACUAAGGAGGUUGACUUUUAUAUUAUGGACACAUCAUUAUUGCAAAUUAUGGUUGUUAAGAACUUUUCUUUAUAUGCAAAUGUUAUAUCAUUUUUUGCAGCUAGACCUAAUCUUAAGAGUAAAAAGAAAAAAGGGUUGUAUUAGGUGGCUAAUAGCUGGUGUAAAUUUGUCACAUCAGAGAAACUCUACCUUUAACAAAUACAUGUUAGGGUACGUUAUCCCAGAGAAGUAAAAUCAUCACUGUUCAAAUUCUUAAAAAGAAUUAUUUGGUUUUUGUUGGGUUAGGACGUCAUCAUCUGGAAAUGAGCCUUGCCACAAUAUGCAGUGCAUGACUAAUGGAUCCAUUAUGAUUUUGGACCGCAUCAGGCAAGGAAGUCAAGAGCAAGCUAACAUUGGCAACUUGGAAUAGGAAUUCUUACAUGCAAGGAACUAGAAUUAGGAGACAUGCUGUUUUCAAGAGGAAAACAUAAUUUGCUUACAAACACUUUGUGGGCAGAAAAAUGAUUAAGAGAACCAGAACUACCAUAAAGUUGGACUUGGUAAACAGGAAAGGAAAAUAUAAGUGGAGAAAAUGUUCUGCAGGUUUACAGGAGAUGUAGAAGAGUAAUUCUUAUUAAAAUUUGUUUAAGGAGAAAUGGUACCUAAUAGUGUUUCAGCGUGUUGUCAAUUAGAGAUGGAUUUUUAAAUUUGCACAUUUUUGGAAAUUUAGACGACUUAAAUUAAGGGCCCAAAAACAGUGAGAAAUAUUAAGUGCAUGGAAGUAAUAAAAAAAAAUAUAUAAAAAAGGAUGUGAUAUAUGAUUCAGGAUUGGGUGGAAACACAGAGUUACAUGCAAAGGCUAAUGUUAUACAUGAAUAACCUAGAGUUCCCUACAUUGAUUAAAAGAUUAAAGUUGAGAAAUAUUAAAAGAACAAACAAGAAUUGGUUGGAGACAUUAAGAAAUAAUAGUUACAUUUCUCUCAACAAAGCUCAACAGUAGGUGGUCCAUGUGGCCGGCUUUAAACAGCUGGGAGCAAUGACUUAUUAUUGUUUAGUUAUGAUUGCCAUCUUAGACAAAUACUUACGAAAUUUUAUCUCAGGAUUUAGUGUAGUCGACAUAAUUAUCAAGUUAUUGGAGAUAUUUAUGAUAACACCAUAACAGUUUUCUUCUCUAAGAAUGAUAAAUACUCUAGUAGUUCUAAAUAUAUUAAGAUAAAAUAUUUAAUGAUUAGAAAAAGAGUUCAAUAAUAAUAAGUGUCAAUUGAGAACCUAAACACCACUUUUAUAAGUGUUUAAAGAAUAUAUUUUUAGAAAGAAGCUUUUGAGCAGGAUGA